rnacentral:lncRNA from 1 species
UGUCAACGUCAGCCUUAGGCAAGUUGACGUCUACUUCAGGGCCCUCUGCUUUGAAGCCAGGCAUGCUGAACUUGGGCAUUUUCAUCUUGGGCAUCUUCAGGUGCCAAUCUGGGCCAUGAACAUCCACAUCUGGAGCACUAAUGUCAACUUUGGGCCCUUUAAUGUCAACAUCUGGCACUUUCAUUUCACCUUCUACCUCA